rnacentral:rRNA from 1 species
GAUGAACGCUAGCGGGAGGCUUAAUACAUGCAAGUCGAGGGGUAACAGUGAGAAUUUAUUUUCAGCUGACGACCGGCGAACGGGUGAGUAACGCGUACACAUCUGCCUUAUACUGAGGGAUAGCCUUUGGAAACGAAGAUUAAUACCUCAUAGUCCCUUCGGGGUAAAGUUCCGGCGGUAUAAGAUGAGUGUGCGUACCAUUAGCUAGUUGGUAGGGUAACGGCCUACCAAGGCGACGAUGGUUAGGGGGCGUGAGAGCGUGGUCCCCCACACGGGUACUGAGACACGGACCCGACUCCUACGGGAGGCAGCAGUAAGGAAUAUUGGACAAUGGGCGCAAGCCUGAUCCAGCCAUCCCGCGUGGAGGAUGAUGGCCCUAUGGGUUGUAAACUCCUUUUAGAUAGGAAGAAACCCUAAGAUUUAUCUUGGGCUGACGGUACUAUCAGAAUAAGCACCGGCUAACUCCG